rnacentral:rRNA from 1 species
UGGCGGACGGGUGAGUAAUGCUUGGGAAUCUGGCUUAUGGAGGGGGAUAACGACGGGAAACUGUCGCUAAUACCGCGUAGAGUCGGGAGACGAAAGUGCGGGACCGCAAGGCCGCAUGCCAUGAGAUGAGCCCAAGUGGGAUUAGGUAGUUGGUGGGGUAAAGGCCUACCAAGCCGACGAUCUCUAGCUGGUCUGAGAGGAUGACCAGCAACACCGGGACUGAGACACGGCCCGG